ensembl:misc_RNA Metazoa_SRP Metazoan signal recognition particle RNA
GCCGGGCGCGGCGGCUCACGCCUGUAAUCCCAGCACUUUGGGAGGCUGAGGCAGGUGGAUCACCAGAGGUCGGGAGUUCAAGACCAGCCUGACCAACAUGGAGAAACCCUGUCUCUA